rnacentral:rRNA from 1 species
AACGAACGCUGGCGGCAUGCCUAACACAUGCAAGUCGAACGAGACCUUCGGGUCUAUUGGCGCACGGGUGCGUAACGCGUGGGAACCUGCCCUUAGGUUCGGAAUAACUCCCCGAAAGGGGUGCUAAUACCGGAUAAUGUCUUCGGACCAAAGAUUUAUCGCCUUUGGAUGGGCCCGCGUUGGAUUAGCUAGUUGGUAGGGUAAAAGCCUACCAAGGCGACGAUCCAUAGCUGGUCUGAGAGGAUGAUCCGCCACACUGGGACUGAGACACGGCCCAGACUCCUACGGGAGGCAGCAGUGGGGAAUAUUGGACAAUGGGCGAAAGCCUGAUCAAGCAAUGCCGCGUGAGUGAUGAAGGCGUUAGGGUUGUAAAGCUCUUUUACCCGGGAUGAUAAUGACAGUACCGGGAGAAUAAGCUCCGGCUAACUCCGUG